ACCGCAGUAGGUAAGUGGCAGACCUUUCGGCAAUUUACCGAUCGGUAGUAGGUUCGAGUCCUACCUGCGGGG
rnacentral:tRNA from 1 species